GCCUGGUUAGCAUAAUGGUUAGUGCGUUUCUCUCCUAUAGUCCGGGGUUCAAAUCCCGGACACUGAGCGAAGAAAUGAUCUGGAUUCGAGUUCCAGGCCGGGCU